rnacentral:lncRNA from 1 species
UUAUUGUUACGAACGCGACAAGCAAGAACGAAAAACGAAAAAAAAAUCACAGCACAAGGACACAUGGAUUCAAUGUGGAAAACCCUCCAAACAACGAGGGGAAAAACCACGGGCGCCAGUCAGCGAAACUUCACUACAUGGAAGUGUUUACAACGCCUGGGAGAUUUCACGAACUCAACUCGUGCGAACUCAGCCCAAAACGGCGGCAUACAAGGGGUAUUUAUAGCAGGAGCAUUAGUACAAGUCAGAUCCGUAACGGUCACACCGGAAGUUCCGGUUGGAGGCCGGAAGUUUCGCAUAUUCUUUAAUAUCCGGAAGUUCCGCAGCAAGUUCCGCAAUUUCCC